rnacentral:rRNA from 1 species
AUACGUAGGUGACAAGCGUUAUCCGGAUUUACUGGGCGUAAAGGGCGUGUAGGCGGUCUUGCAAGUCAGAAGUGAAAUUCCUGAGCUCAACUCGGGCGCUGCUUCUGAAACUGCAGGACUUGAGUGCUGGAGGGGAUAGCGGAAUUCCUAGUGGAGCGGUAAAAUGCGCAGAUAUUAGGAGGAACACCGGUGGCGAAGGCGGCUAUCUGGACAGUAACUGACGCUGAGGCGCGAAAGCGUGGGGAGCAAACAGGAUUAGAUUCCCUGGUAGUCCACGCCGUAAACGAUGAAUACUAGGUGUAGGGGGUAUCGACUCCCUCUGUGCCGCAGUUAACACAAUAAGUAUUCCGCCUGGGGAGUACGGCCGCAAGGUUGAAACUCAAAUGAAUUGACGGGG